CCCGGUCAUACACAAAACAACUACCUACCAAUCCCAUUCCCACUUGCCACCACGAGUCCACAACUCCACGUCUCCACGAUCGGGAAUCUUCCCGAGCUCCUCUCGAUCCCGUGCUCUCUCACCGUCUCUCUCUACCCGAUGCCACCUCUCCCCCAAGUCUCCAUCACCUGUGCGCCGCCACUCGCCGGCGGACAGCCCGUCAGCGGCCAUACCCUCCCUGAGCUCCCCCCUCUCCCUCUCCUCCCUCCUCCCUCCACCCCUCCGACGCGACCUCAGAUCCGGCGCGCUAGGCAGGGACACAAGAGAGGAGGGAGGCGACGGCAACCUCGAGCAGUCGAGCCCUGGUUCGUCCUCGACGACGUCAAGCUGUGCCAUGCCAAAAUCGAGCUCCGCAACCUUUCCGAGGAACGCACCACCCAUAGUUUCAGGAAAUCUCUGGCUACAUGCUUCCACUCUGUUUUCCUUAUCUGUUGACCUUGUUGCAUCUGAUGAAACACCUUACCAACGUUCCUACGUUGUCGUGUGGAUCUGCGUGCUUCGACCAUUGUGCUUGACUUCUCAACACAUAGAUGUGCGCUGCCAUGAUUAGACCUCCAGCAUAUCUGGUAUGUGGUAGCAUCGGCGUUAUGAUAAAGAUAAUCUAUCGCCUUGGGCAUAAGCAUCUCGUCAAGUUGGUCAGGAUGAACAUUGACAUGUGUGAGGUGUUGUUGCUUCUCUCCGUUGAUCACCUCUAUCGCAGAGCCGGCCUCGCCUGCAGACUUCGGGUCAUCCUCCAUAGAAUCAUGAGGCAGGAUUAGAAUUCCGAGCUUCAAAGGGGGGAAAUUCUCCAGAGAAGCAGUCGCGUCAUCACAGCUAAUGGAGGUUGCAAUUGAUGAUACCGGCUGUAAGUUAUUGUACUCAGAGAGUGAGAUGUAACGCUGCAAAAACACUUGGCAAACUGGUUCUGGAAAUUUGUUUCUCCUACCGCUGCUAUUAUUGUUGACGCCAUUGACGAUGCCACAAGAAGGUGAGUCUUUGUGCUCGUAUCCUUGACAACAUAAUGGAUCCGGACGGAACCAUCUAGUCAAAGUUAUAUGGAUGUGA